CUCUGACCGAAUUUUUGGCGUUGAAGCUCCACCGCUGUGGUGACGCCAUUGUCGAUUUCGCCCGGUGAUCAUCCAUGGCAAGGACGGCAGUAGUUUCUGUUCAGUCCGUAUGAGGAGGAGUCCGGAGAGCACGUUCACCUAUCCGCCUCAUCAUCAUGGAACUCAGUCCACGCCUCGCCGAACCCUGGAGACCGCCUGAACACUGAGUCCGCCUCCAUCAUCUUACUCGUAACCAGCUUUGUGGUCGCUGUUUGUGUGAAGAGCGACGUGUUUUGCUGAGAGAAGUGAAC